rnacentral:rRNA from 1 species
CAGCCGUAAACUAUGCGCGUUAGGUGUAUCGGUGACCACGAGUUACCGAGGUGCCGAAGGGAAACCGUGAAACGUGCCGCCUGGGAAGUACGGUCGCAAGGCUGAAACUUAAAGGAAUUGGCGGGGGAGCACAACAACGGGUGGAGCCUGCGGUUUAAUUGGACUCAACGCCGGACAACUCACCGGGGACGACAGCAAUAUGUAGGCCAGGCUGAAGACCUUGCCUGAAUCGCUGAGAGGUGGUGCAUGGCGUCAGUGACU